rnacentral:rRNA from 1 species
UGCAUGCAUAAGUGCAGCCGAACUAAAUAUACGGUGAAACCGCGAAUGGCUCAGUAAAUCAGUUAUAAUUUACGAGAAUAUGAAUGUUAUACUUGGUAUAACUGUGGUAAUUCUAGAGCUAAUACAUGCCUGAACGUAGUCCGUGAUGAGCGGGCGGCGAGUAUUUAUUAGACACGAGAGUGAGUGGCUCUCCCAUGAGGUUAUCCAGUCCAGUCAAGUGGUGAUGAUUCUGUUUAAAACAACCGAUCGCUAACGCCUUCGGGCCGGCGACAAUCUUUCAAGUGUCUGCCUUAUCAUACUUUCGAUGGUAGGUUAAAUGCCUACCAUGGUCAUGACGGGUGACGGAGAAUCAGGGUUCGAUUCCGGAGAGGGAGCCUGAAAAACGGCUACCACAUCCAAGGAAGGCAGCAGGCGCGUAAAUUACCCAAUUCUAGAACAGAGAGGUAGUGACGAAAAAUAACGAUGCGGGACUCAUAUGAGGCUCCGUAAUUGGAAUGAGUACAGUCUAAACCUUUUAACGAGGAUCUAUUGGAGGGCAAGUCUGGUGCCAGCACCGCGGUAAUUCCAGCUCCAAUAGCGUAUAUUAAACUUGCUGCGGUUAAAAAGCUCGUAGUUGAAACCUCGAGAGGCUCGCGGAUAACCUAGGGCCCUGCCCGAUGGCCCGUUAGUAGUCUCUAUCCGGCGAUGCACUGUCCGUCGUCUACUUUAUUGUAGGCUUCGGGUGGGCGUCAUACUCACUCUGACGAAAUUAGGGUGCUCAAAGCUGGCCUUGUGCCUGAAUAUAAACCAUGGAAUGAUGGAAGAAGGUUGUUGUUCCGUUGUGGCUCGUGGAAUCGACAUAAUGACCAAGAGAAACGGCCGGGGGCAUUCGUACUGCAGCGCUAGAGGUGAAAUUCUUGGACCGUUGCAAGACGAACUAAAGCGAAAGCAUUUGCCAAGAAUGUUUUCCUUGAUCAAGAACGAAAGUUAGAGGUUCGAAGGCGAUCAGAUACCGCCCUAGUUCUAACCAUAAACGAUGCCAACUAGCAAUCCGCCUGAGUUGUCUUUCUGACUCGGCGGGCAGCUCCGGGAAACCAAGUCUGGUUCCGGGGGAAGUAUGGUUGCAAAGCUGAAACUUAAAGGAAUUGACGGAAGGGCAACACAAGGAGUGGAGCUUGCNGCUUNAAUUUGAUUCAAACAACGGGAAAUUUUGCCCAGCCCAGACACUGCAUGGAUUGACAGAUUAAGAGCUCUUUCUUGAUUCGGUGGUUGGUGGUGCAUGGCCGUUCUUAGUCGGUGGAGUGAUUUGUCUGGUUUAUUCCGUUAACGGACGAGAUUCUAACCUACUAAAUAGACGUGGUGUUGAUUUGCACAUCACGAUUCCUUCUUAGAGGGACACGUUGCUUAUAGCUACACGAAAAAGAGCAAUAACAGGUCUGUGAUGCCCUUAGAUGUCUGGGACCGCACGCGUGCUACACUGAAGGAAGCAGCGUGUAGAAUCCUGGUUCGAGAGAACUGGGUAACCGCAUGAAACUCCUUCAUGAUUGGGAUUGAGGCUUGUAAUUUUACCUCAUGAACGAGGAAUUCCUUGUAAGCACAUGUCAUUAGCGUGUGCUGAUUAAGUCCCUGCCCUUUGUACACACCGCCCGUCGCUACUACCGAUUCAAUGAUUUAGUGAGGGUUUCUGAUUGGUUUUUGAGGGGCCUUCGGUCUCGAAAAUUCUGAGAUUAAGCCCAAACUUGAUCAUUAAGAGGAAGUUAAAGUCGUAACAAGGUUUCCGUAGGUGAACCUGCGGA